rnacentral:lncRNA from 1 species
GUGACAUUUCAGAUAUGUUCUAAAAUAUUUAAUGCUAUUUGGAGUUAUUGGUUUCAACAAGGCUACUAUACUCUUAUGAGUACGAUCAACCUUGUACUCAUAAGUUUGUUUUUGAUGAUAGAGUUUUCGAAUUGACGAUCCACACUGUUAAACAUUAUCUAGAGCAUCUAAAAUGUCUAGAAAUUAAAUUUUAUAAUUUUUCAGUAUCAUUUACCAUAUGAUCAAAAGGUCAUAAAAUUGACAAUUUUUAACGGCCGGUAUGGGAUAUUUGCUAGUUUAACUGUGUAAAAGAAUCGAAAUUUGUUGAAUUUUUGAUAGAAAAUUCUACUCACUAUAUAGAUAAAGUUCAAUAACUCCGAUCUUAAAUUGAAGGAUCCGAUCAUUUAUUUUUAAGACGUCGUUCGACUUUGACCGUUUAUUUUAUACUCGCUUGAUAAAUUUUAUUAUAAUUUCAAAAAAUUACGAAAUUUAUUUUCUAUAUGUUUCAAAUAUUGUAAAUCAUAUUUAACGGAGUGGAUUGUCGAUUCGGAAGCUCUAUUAUUGAAAACAACUUAUGAGUACGAAGGGCUCUAUAUUUAUAAGAGUAUAGUAGCCAUAGUCUUCAACAACUUAGUUUUCUUUUUCUUUUUUUUUUUUU